ACUUGAAUAGCUUAUAUUUGAGAGCGCGACACUGAAGAUGUUGAGGAGGUAUUUAUUGCCUUUAGGUG
rnacentral:tRNA from 1 species